rnacentral:misc_RNA from 1 species
GUAGGUGAACCUGCGGAAGGAUCAUUAGAGAUUGGCCUCCGGGCCGUUUUCAAACACACACACCGUGAACCGUUCCGUCGUCCUUCGGGGCGGUGGCUUACCACCACAAACAAUGUAUACCAGAACGUGAAAUGUCGUAAACAAACAAAACUUUCAACAACGGAUCUCUUGGCUCUC